rnacentral:rRNA from 1 species
GACGAACGCUGGCGGCGUGCUUAACACAUGCAAGUCGAACGAAGUGGCGAACGGGUGAGUAACGCGUAAUCAACCUGCCCUUCAGAGGGGGACAACAGUUGGAAACGACUUCUAAUACCGCAUACUGGAGGAGGGGAUUGCGUCUGAUUAGCUAGUUGGCUGGGUAACGGCCCACCAAGGCCAUGAUCAGUAGCCGGUCUGGGAGGGUGAACGGCCACAAUGGGACUGAGGCACGGCCCCGACUCCUACGGGAGGCAGCAGUGGGGAAUCCUCCGCAAUGGACGAAAGUCUGACGGAGCAACGCCGCGGGAGUGAUGACGGCUUUCGGGUUGUAAAGCUCUGUUAAUCGGGACGCGGUACCGGAAUAGAAAGCCACGGCUAACUACGUGCCAGCAGCCGCGGUAAUAC